UACGGGGGGGGCAAGCGUUGUUCGGAAUUACUGGGCGUAAAGGGCGCGUAGGCGGCCUUCUAAGUCGGACGUGAAAUCCCUCGGCUUAACCGAGGAACUGCGUCCGAUACUGAAAGGCUUGAAUCCGGGAGAGGGAUGUGGAAUUCCAGGCGUAGCGGUGAAAUGCGUAGAUAUCUGGAGGAACACCGGUGGCGAAGGCGGCGUUCUGGACUGCAACUGACACUGAGGAACGAAAGCCAGGGGAGCAAACGGG
rnacentral:rRNA from 1 species